rnacentral:rRNA from 1 species
ACGGCCCGCUAUCGACAGGAGAACAUUUGCCCAAGCGGAGAGCACCGAGCUACCUCUCAUCUCACCACCACCACCAAGCGGAGGAGCCACCUGAGGACGGGCGGCGAGCGAGAGGGCGGCGGCGAGCGAGAGGGCGGGGGCCGGACAUACGAGGCGAAGCGGGGUCAGGGCGAAGAGAUGGCGUUCACCAUGCGCGCGGUGAAGGUUCCGCCGAACUCGGCGUCGAUGGGGGAGGCGCGGCACCGCGUGUUCGACUUCUUCAGGCAGGCCUGCCGCGCCAUCCCCUCCAUCAUGGAGAUCUACAACCUCGACGACGUCGUGACCCCCGCCCAGCUCCGCGCCAGCAUCUCCCAGCAGAUCCGGAAGAACCAGGGCGUCUCCGACCCCAAGGUCAUUGAUAUGCUUCUCUUCAACGGGAUGGAGGAGCUGAACAACAUCACCGAGCACGCGAAGCAGCGCCACCACAUCAUCGGGCAAUACGUGGUUGGCCACAAGGGGCUGGUGCAGGACCUGGAAAAGGACCAGGGGAGCUCCGAGUUCCUGAAGAAAUUCUACACCAGCAACUACUAG